rnacentral:lncRNA from 1 species
GGCUGCAAGUUUGAGGCCAUAGCAAAAGCGUUCGUGGUGCAGCCCUGUCAUUCCAAUGAAUCAGCAAAUUCUGCU